UUGCGUGCCGCCCAAAAGGAACAAGUGGCCAAGACAUAGGGGUGUCCUUGCAGGCAGAGCUGCUUUCAAAAGGGUCUCCAUCGCUGAUGCUUUCCUUCCCAUACGGCUCCCAUGUGUGUGGGGAGAUGUUUAGCUUGCAUGAGUGCGAGGGAGGGGUAAGAGAGGUACAGCCAGAGGAGGCUCUGAGGAAAGACUGUGGAAACGUGGAGAGCAGGGAAAUGAAGAGGACACGUCACUCAUCGCCAGCUGAAAUCCAGAGGGGGUGGUGAGGAGAAGAGGAGCAGGGAGGACGAGGUUUGGAAGCCUUAUCACAGAAGGGCUAUCCUCAAGAGUGCAGAGUAGGGGAAAGGCAAGACCCUACUUUCCCCCAUCAUGAUGACUCUUCCUCUUUUCCUCUUCUUUGUCCUCUUACCCUGCAGUAAAUGCCAAAAGGACUUUGUGGAUCAGCACCAGAAAUGGAACUACAGGGAAGGCGCUGACAAGGUCAACAUCGAGGGUGUGAACAGCAUUACUCGAACACUUGAGAAAUGGGGAAACAGCAUCUUCUGGCAAAUGAAACACACCUUGCUGAACAACCCAAACGCUUUACUGCCUGAGUUCUCCAGUCUCUAUCCUGUCUCUGCGGCUGUGGACAAUCUCCUAAGGGAAGUACAGUCAAUAAGGAAAAGGCUAGAAGAACUGAACGAACGGCUCAAUAUCAUCAGCAAGAUCAUCCUUCCCACCCGACUUAACGCCCUGCAGAGCCAGAGGCGUGGAAACACUCAGCUGCGUAGACUUCCGCUGCAUAGGAGAAGGCUGUAUUUUCGCAGGAGACCUCAGAGGAGUUAACUCUCUGCCAGAAAAAAAAGGGAAAUCUUCACUUUUUUUACCUGCUUAAGCCUUUUCUCGAUGGGUCACCAUUAGACAGAAUAAAGUGUAUAUGACAGCCAACCCUACUGAGGAGACCAGAACUUCUGCAUUUUGUUGCUGUCUUUCAAGUCCAGGUCAGUGGUCAAAUCCAGUUGUGUUCUGCAAAGACAGUUUUGUGUCCCAUGCAAAAUGACUUGACAAGCUCAGUAUAGCUCAGUGUGAGUACUGUUAUCCUGUACCAUCAUUCUUUCUGCUUAUGAGACAAAGCUCUUUCUAUAAAGAUCGGAUUAAUUUCUGUCUUAUUUUCAUAGCACUCCACCUGAAACAGCUGGGGAAUUUGAUUUUCAAAAGAAACUCCUGAUGAACUCCUGGUGAAGGCAGAAAGAUAGAUUAAUGCUUGGCACUUCCAGCUGGGUGGGGAGGGGGAAAGGAAGGUCCGUUUUAAAAUAUGGCCUUAACCUAUUCACCACUAGUACACAGAAUGCCCUGUUCACAUGUUCAGAGGGUAGACAGGGUUGAUCAACCUUCGUCUCUGCAUAAUGCUUCAAGAGUGAAGAUGUGUCAGAGUCCAGGAAUCAGAUUUGAACACCUACCUUCUGCAGAGAGCCUUUUGCUAGUUACCUUGAGUUGGGCACUCAAAACCCUGUUAUCCAACAGAUAUGUCCAGACCUUUCCAGCAUGCUGAAAAACAUCACACUGACUUCUGUCAAGACCCCUGGAAACGAGGGUAUGUUUUUUUCAAAGUUAUUUAGGUACCUAAUGGCAUAGGUAGGUAUCCAGAAGGAUUUUCCAAAAUAGCUUAGGAGACAGUUUAGUCCCAGAAUCACAGGUAACCACUCAAUCGGUGUCUAACUCACAGAGUAUCUUCUGCACAUGCAAACAUGGACUUCCAGACAUGUACUAGCAUCCUUUAGCAUGUUUAUAAUCUGUAGAAAAAGAACACGCAGGCACCCCAGGGAUGUUUAUGUCUCAGGGAGUAUCCAGAACACCUUGCCUUCAGCUUCUCUUUGCUUGUGGAUUUCUGGUGAUAAAAAAAUUAGUGAUAAAACUGGUAAUAAAAAACAGCACAGAAAACAAGCUGUGCACUUAAUGCAGGAUUGUGUGGGCUUGCUUUUCAGGUCCCUACAGCUGAAUCCAACACAGAGAUUCUCAUCCAGUGUUGCAGCCAACUGCAUACCUGGAAUCUACUAAAAUACAGGUGGGAGAGUCAGAGAAAAGAAUAAAUGUAACUAUUUGUUAAAGGUCUGGAUAGAGAAAUUUAUGAGAAUUUAUGAGAACAAAAAUAAAGAAUGGAUUAUGUCUAAAUGGUUGCAGGGGAGUCUGGCCUGACAGUUGUUUUGCAAACACUCUCCAGGCAUAAAUAGUGAUGAUGCAGACUAGCUAUUCAAGGGUUCCCAAGGCCUGAGCAUAUGGAGAAAAGCUCAGUGACACUACAAUAACCUCAAGAGGAAAGAGGGACUACUGGCUUCGUAUGAAACCCCUGAAAAUGAACCAGAAGUAACGCAGUGAACAUUUUGGCUGGGACCUGGGAGUUGGGUGGUGGAGGUAUGAGGAGUAUGAUACAAACUGAUAAAUAUUUCCUGGGUGUAAAUUCUCUGAGUUCAGGUUUUCAGAAAAUAACAAAACUCUAACUUGGCAGGUCUCGCCUUGGCUUUUGCCCGGGAAUUUGAAACUCCCCCUAACUGGAUCAGGGAAAAAUCAAGCCUGUGAAAAGGCUGAUAAAAAGAUACAGUUAUGCCUUUGGCAAAUCUGCCACCAUAAUUUCUCAGGAAACUUCGAGUAUUUUGAUUCUAGAAUAUAUUUACCAAAAUGACAAGAAAUAACAGGAGAGAAAGUCCCCAUCAGCCUCUUCCUUGUUAUUCUGCAUUCAGAGCUACUAGGCUCUGCUGCAGCAUCAGCUGUCUGCCUGCACAGGCUGCCGGUCCCUCUGGGGGUGCUUUUUGCACUUUGCUUGGGGUUGUAGGGGCUGCUGGUAACUUUGGCUUAUCUUGAUGAAGAACAGAACAUAAAUGUCAGCUUUCAUUACUUGUUCAUGUUUUAGACAUGAGAUCUUUUUAUUAGGCAACUUAAAGUUGUAUAAAAUCCGUCAAGCGCUACUGAACACAAAGCUAAGACUUCUGGCUCAGGGAAGACCCUCAGUCAGAGACCUCUGGAAGUGGUAGGCCAGAGCAGAUCCCUGUGUGCUUUAACUGCUUACUUAGAUUUCCACUAGCAGCCUCUGCCACAGAUGGAGGAUUGGGCAAGAUGGACCUGUGGUCUGGCCCAUCCAGCUAUUUGUACACUGGUAUGUACAAAUUGCUAUUUUUGGCAAAUGUCCUUAGCUCAACAGAGAAACUCAGUUUGUUUUAAAAGAGAACAAAUAAGCUGCAACACACAAUGUAUAUUAUGGUUUUGCAAUUUCUUACAUAAUGACAAAUAAACCGAACUAUAUAGAUGGUGAAUAAAUGACUAACUCGGUGGCCUUGUCACACUGAUAGCAGCCCC